GAUGAACGCUGGCGGCGUGCCUAAUACAUGCAAGUCGAGCGAACGGACGAGACGCUUGCUUCUCUGAUGUUAGCGGCGGACGGGUGAGUAACACGUGGAUAACCUACCUAUAUGACUGGGAUAACUUCGGGAAACCGUAGCUAAUACCGGAUAAUCUUUUGAACCGCAUGGUUCAAAAGUGAAAGACGGUCUUGCUGUCACUUAUAGCUGGAUCCGCGCUGCAUUAGCUAGUUGGUAAGGUAACGGCUUACCAAGGCAACGAUGCAUAGCCGACCUGAGAGGGUGAUCGGCCACACUGGAGCUGAGACACGGUCCAUGCUCCUAAGGGAGGCAGCAGUAGGGAAUCGUCCGCAAUGGGCGAAAGCCUGACAGAGCGGCGCCGCGUGAGUGAUGAAGGUCUUCGGAUCGUAAAGCUCGGUUAUGAGUGAAGAACAUAUGUGUAAGUAACUGUGCACAGCUUGACGGUACCUAAUCAGAAAGCCACGGCUAACUACGUG
rnacentral:rRNA from 1 species